UUGGGGGCUGUUUAAGGAUGGGGAGAAGGAGGAGGAUCCUGGAAGAGAGAGGACCAGGAGGAGGAGGAGGAGGAGAGAAGGGGCUGCCUGCGUCCUCUCUCCUCGCGCUCUUCUUCGCCGAAGUUGAUGGAGAUGGAGAGGGGGGAACUUUCGGGAGAGUUUGAGCCCGAGGACCGGGAGGGGUCCCGCUCUGCACCCGCCGCCCCAAACGGACCCUCCCAUGGGAUCCAGGGGCCCCGCAGAGUCCCAGCGUGAAAACACACAGAGAGAAGAAGCAACUACGGGAUUGGUUUGGCAGCUGCCAAAGUCACUCAACAAUACACAGUGCACAGCAGUGGCUGGAGAGGCAGAGGACACAUGGUGAAUGCGCCGGCCAUUGACAAAUUUAGCAUUUGGGUUACUAGUCCUCAGUGACACCUCAUACUGAGAGCACCAAGCAACCAGCUUCAUCCGCUAGGUGGCUACAAUAUUUGACUCACAUCUGUAGCUUUGGGAAGCAGCCCAAUCUGUUCUGAAGUUGCUCCAUCCACUUUGACUCAAAUUAGAUCUUAUCAGAAACAAAGCCCUAUUUUCUCCCCAUUCACUGUAGUGGGGAAUAAAAAAAUGGAGAUAUAUAUCCCCUUUUUGGAAAAGUAGGUGACAUUUUCAGGCACAGGUCCUCCAGAUUGGAGCAAGCUUGCCAAAUUGUAAGCAGAUGAUAUAUCUGGGGGGCUUGGGCAGAGCACCCCUUAAAGUUUGGGUGUUUAUUUAUUAUUAUUAUUAUUAUUAUUAUUAUUAUUAUUAUUAUUAUUAUUAUUAGAAACAAGUCUUGUUUUCUUCCAGACUUGGAUGCAAUCUGCAGGCAUGCUCACCCUUCUGAGGGUAUGAAACAUGCUAAAUUUCAGAAUGAUAGUUGCAGUGCUUCUCCUUCAAAGACAGACUUUACUGUUUUGGGGUGGGAAUAAUGGGAAUUAUAGGGGUGGAGGAGGAAAGAUCAUGGACCACCAGAAAAGACUAGAGUGCGGGGAAAUGCCACUCAUGCUAUCACAUGCCUUCCAAACAUCCUAAGAGAUAUUGUAUGUAAGCUGUGAAACAUGAAAUACCAUCACAUGCCUCCUGCCAGCCAAUACCAUUGCUUAUCAGCUACCAAUUGCUAAUAACAUUGCAUUUCAAUUUUGAAAAAAAAGAGAGGUGACAUUGCGUGUCAUUUAUUAAAAAAUGGUCAAAGCGUAAA